rnacentral:lncRNA from 1 species
AUGACUAUGAACAAAGCUAGUGGAGGUGAUGGAAUUCCAGUUGAGCUGUUUCAAAUCCUGAAAGAUGAUGCUGUAAAAGUGCUGCAUUCAAUAUGCCAGCAAAUUUGGAAGACUCGGAAGUGGCCACAGAACUGGAAAAGGUCAGUUUUCACUCCAAUCCCAAAGAAGGGCAAUGCCAAAGAAUGCUCAAACUACCACACAAUUGCACUCAUCUCACAUGCUAGUAAAGUAAUGCUCAAAAUUCUCCAAGCCAGGCUUCAGCAACAUGUGAACCGUGAACUUCCAGAUGUUCAAGCUGGUUUUAGAAAAGGCAGAGGAACCAGAGAUCAAAUUGCCAACAUCCGCUGGAUCAUGGGAAAAGCAAGAGAGUUCCAGAAAAACAUCUAUUUCUGCAUUAUUGACUAUGCCAAAGCCUUUGACUGUGUGGAUCACAAUAAACUGUGGAAAAUUCUGAAAGAGAUGGGAAUACCAGACCACCAGAGAAAGCUGUAUGCAGGUCAGGAAGCAACAGUUAGAACUGGACACGGAACAACAGACUGGUUCCAAAUAGGAAAAGGAGUACAUCAAGGCUGUACAUUGUCACCAUGCUUAUUUAACUUCUAUGCAGAGUACAUCAUGAGAAACACUGGGCUGGAAGAAGCGCAAGCUGGAAUCAAGAUUGCUGGGAGAAAUAUCAAUAACCUCAGAUAUGCAGAUGACACUACCCUUAUGGCAGAAAGUGAAGAGAAACUAAAAAGCCUCUUGAUGAAAAUGAAAGAGGAGAGUGAAAGUGUUGGCUUAAAGCUCAACAUUCAGAAAAUGAAGAUCAUGGCAUCUGGUCCUAUCACUUCAUGGGAAAUAGAUGGGGAAACAGUGGAAGCUGUGUCAGACUUUAUUUUGGGGGGCUCCAAAAUCACUGCCGAUGGUUACUGCAGCUAUGAAAUUAAAAGACACUUACUCCUUGGAAGAAAAGUUAUGACCAACCUAGAUAGCAUAUUCAAAAGCAGAGACAUUACUUUACCGACUAAGGUCCGUCUAGUCAAGGCUAUGGUUUUUCCUGUGGUCAUGUAUGGAUGUGAGAGUUGGACUGUGAAGAAGGCUGAGUGCCGAAGAAUUGAUGCUUUUGAAUUGUGGUAUUGGAGAAGAUUCUUGAGAGUCCCUUGGACUGCAAGGAGAUCCAACUAG